rnacentral:lncRNA from 1 species
CUUUUAUGAAUUUAUUUCAAUCUUAAUCAUCAAUUUCUUUGUCUGUUGAAACCUUAGAUUUUUUCUCUGUACUGUUUUGUUUUUCUAAAGGGACGUAACACCACUACUAAUCUAGUUUGAAAUAAGCCCCGCCUCCCUACUACCUUAUAUGGAAUAUAAAGGGAAGUAACUCCACAACUAACCGUGUAUUGAAUAAGCCCCGCCCCUACUAACCUAAUAUUAAAUAUACACGGUUUCCACGAGGACGGUUUUAACAAAUCACAUUCAUAGAAAUGUAUAUGAGGUAAGAUAAAUUAUUAUAAUAAUCGGUUGACGAUGGAAAGCCUCUAAUCAACAAAUUCAUGCAAAUAUAUUCUUGAAAAAUAUGCUUAAGAAAGUAAAGUCUCUAAAGAGC